UUCCUGAUCCUCUACCUCUUCCUCUUCCUCUUCUACUUCCUCCAGUUCUGGAGAAAUCUUCCCCUCUAGGGGGUUGUCCAUGUCUGGGGAUUCUUCUCUGGCUCUCAUUUUAUCCAUUUUUUCUUUUCUUUCCUUUCCUUUCUCCCUUUGUGGUAUUUUUUCAGAAUCCAUUUUUAAUUUCCAAUAAAAAUCCUUAGCCUUUU
rnacentral:miRNA from 11 species